rnacentral:rRNA from 1 species
GAUGAACGCUGGCGGCGUGCCUAAUACAUGCAAGUCGAGCGAACGGACGAGAAGCUUGCUUCUCUGAUGUUAGCGGCGGACGGGUGAGUAACACGUGGAUAACCUACCUAUAAGACUGGGAUAACUUCGGGAAACCGGAGCUAAUACCGGAUAAUAUUUUGAACCGCAUGGUUCAAAAGUGAAAGACGGUCUUGCUGUCACUUAUAGAUGGAUCCGCGCUGCAUUAGCUAGUUGGUAAGGUAACGGCUUACCAAGGCAACGAUGCAUAGCCGACCUGAGAGGGUGAUCGGCCACACUGGAACUGAGACACGGUCCAGACUCCUACGGGAGGCAGCAGUAGGGAAUCUUCCGCAAUGGGCGAAAGCCUGACGGAGCAACGCCGCGUGAGUGAUGAAGGUCUUCGGAUCGUAAAACUCUGUUAUUAGGGAAGAACAUAUGUGUAAGUAACUGUGCACAUCUUGACGGUACCUAAUCAGAAAGCCACGGCUAACUACGUGCCAGCAGCCGCGGUAAUACGUAGGUGGCAAGCGUUAUCCGGAAUUAUUGGGCGUAAAGCGCGCGUAGGCGGUUUUUUAAGUCUGAUGUGAAAGCCCACGGCUCAACCGUGGAGGGUCAUUGGAAACUGGAAAACUUGAGUGCAGAAGAGGAAAGUGGAAUUCCAUGUGUAGCGGUGAAAUGCGCAGAGAUAUGGAGGAACACCAGUGGCGAAGGCGACUUUCUGGUCUGUAACUGACGCUGAUGUGCGAAAGCGUGGGGAUCAAACAGGAUUAGAUACCCUGGUAGUCCACGCCGUAAACGAUGAGUGCUAAGUGUUAGGGGGUUUCCGCCCCUUAGUGCUGCAGCUAACGCAUUAAGCACUCCGCCUGGGGAGUACGACCGCAAGGUUGAAACUCAAAGGAAUUGACGGGGACCCGCACAAGCGGUGGAGCAUGUGGUUUAAUUCGAAGCAACGCGAAGAACCUUACCAAAUCUUGACAUCCUUUGACAACUCUAGAGAUAGAGCCUUCCCCUUCGGGGGACAAAGUGACAGGUGGUGCAUGGUUGUCGUCAGCUCGUGUCGUGAGAUGUUGGGUUAAGUCCCGCAACGAGCGCAACCCUUAAGCUUAGUUGCCAUCAUUAAGUUGGGCACUCUAGGUUGACUGCCGGUGACAAACCGGAGGAAGGUGGGGAUGACGUCAAAUCAUCAUGCCCCUUAUGAUUUGGGCUACACACGUGCUACAAUGGACAAUACAAAGGGCAGCGAAACCGCGAGGUCAAGCAAAUCCCAUAAAGUUGUUCUCAGUUCGGAUUGUAGUCUGCAACUCGACUACAUGAAGCUGGAAUCGCUAGUAAUCGUAGAUCAGCAUGCUACGGUGAAUACGUUCCCGGGUCU